rnacentral:rRNA from 1 species
GAUGUUCCCGUCUCAUCACCCUUUGUGAACAUACCUUAACUGUUGCUUCGGCGGGUAGGCGUCCCCUAAAAAGGACGUCUCCCGGCCCUCUCCCGUCCGCGGGUGGGGCGCCCGCCUGAGGAUAACCAAACUCUGAUUUAACGACGUUUCUUCUGAGUGACACAAGCAAAUAAUCAAAACUUUUAACAACGGAUCUCUUGGUUCUGGCAUCGAUGAAGAACGCAGCGAAAUGCGAUAAGUAAUGUGAAUUGCAGAAUUCAGUGAAUCAUCGAAUCUUUGAACGCACAUUGCGCCCGCCAGCAUUCUGGCGGGCAUGCCUGUUCGAGCGUCAUUUCAACCCUCAAGCUCUGCUUGGUGUUGGGGCUCUACGGUUGACGUAGGCCCUUAAAGGUAGUGGCGGACCCUCUCGGAGCCUCCUUUGCGUAGUAACAUUUCGUCUCGCAUUGGGAUUCGGAGGGACUCUAGCCGUAAAACCCCCAAUUUUACUAAGGUUGACCUCGGAUCAGGUAGGAAUACCCGCUGAACUUAAGCAUAUCAAUAAGCGGA